UGGGGAGAUAAUAGAAAAUGCAGUUGAUUGAUAUCCUUGUGUGAUGGUGUAGUGCAGCUGAUUGAAAUGAGUAACCAAAAUGUGAUGGUGCUGUGCAGCUGAUUGGCAUUGACAUCGGCCAAUUGGCACGUAGCACCGCCUUUUUAAACCUGAUUGGCCGGUGCUUGGGAUACGUCACGUCCGACUCCGACGCACUGGUUUGGGUGUCUGUAGCCGCGGCUACAGGUAGAGGCUCUGCGCUCGUUCUGAAUUUUUUAAGUUGUUUGAAUCGACCCACGUUAAGCUCUCUUUUGGCAUUGUUCUAGUGCAUCGUGUGACGGUGGCUUUUCCCUUGGCUGUGGUGGCUGGAUGACUGUUCAGUUGCAGCUAUUAAUUCCGGCACCUCGCUGUAUUGUAUCGACCAACGCGUGAUUAGAACGUGUCUGAGUGUGCGCCCAUUGGAACUGAGGUUUCCCCCGGUGGAUGACGGGUCACUUUCCACUGGUGGUGGGGUUUCUCUAUCGUGUGCUGUGGACACUGAGUGCGUGAUAGCGGGAUUUUUGAGUGCACUGUGGUGUGUGCGUGUUUUGGGGUAAAGUCUGUCCACUCGUACCCAGUCAGUGGGAACCUCCAAUCCUGGUUUGGUUUUGUUUAUUUAUUGCUUCUUGUGUUUAAUAAUGAAGUGGGAGUUUUUGAUGUGUUUUUAAGAACCGUACUAUUUGAUAGUUUUAUUCCAAAUAAAUAUUUUUGUACUUUUUCAUUAACUCACGUCUCUGUGCCUUUCUGGGAGAAACGAACCUGUGUCCUUUUCUAAUAGUUGUUUCCCUGGGUAACUCCUGGGGUGGCGUAGUCGGUUAUUUUUAUUUUAAGAGAUUUAAACCCUACUCUAUACCCUCGUCACACUUGUCUAAAACUAUGUAUGCUAGAUUAUUUUCAACUGUUCAAUAAAAAUUAAACCACAAAAAAGCAGCGAUAGUACAGCAAGAAUUGUGGGACAUGGAGGACAACCUUGUCACAUACUGUGUCUCCAGCUUCACAUGCCAGCUUUGUCACCUUGGCAUCAGUAGAGUUGUACAAGCUUCAAAUUAACACCAGAUCUCAGGUAUUCUGAAGUAGUUUUAAUAAAGUAAUAAAAAUCAUGAACUGCCAAUCUUGUUAACAAUUUUUACUCCAGGUAAAAGCAUUCCUGAUGUUUUGCCAGAGGGUGGAUGUCUAAAUAAAAUC